rnacentral:misc_RNA from 1 species
GACCUCUGUUGUCCUGAGUCAACUGCGGGCCAGAUAAAUCUAAUUUCAAGGGUCACGAUUGUACGUUGCAUUAUAUAUGCUCUGUCUGCAGACCGGUACUCGAGCUGGCCAACGUUUGGACGCCUGGUUUUAGGAACAAGUGGCACGUCCUUUCUCCGUCUAAUUUUCUUAGCGUCUUUUCACUCGUGACUCAUGGAAAAAUUAGUAGCGGCCCUUUAUCAAUACCUACUGAUAUAUCCAGAUGGCGAAGUCACUAAUAGUAAAAAUAAGUACGUCUUAUUUUGAAAAUUGCAUCAACGAAAUAUAGUCUUCUAUAUUAUGAACCAAGCAAACCUGCAAUUCCUUCGCUGAUACAUUAUCUAACCACGAACAAUAUCGUUAAAACACAGUACUGAUUUUAACAUCGAGGUACUGGUUUUUUCUUUUAG